rnacentral:piRNA from 1 species
UGACAUAGUACCACCAGAGUGAUGGAGAAC